rnacentral:rRNA from 1 species
GAUGAACGCUGGCGGCGUGCCUAAUACAUGCAAGUCGAGCGAAUGGAUUAAGAGCUUGCUCUUAUGAAGUUAGCGGCGGACGGGUGAGUAACACGUGGGUAACCUGCCCAUAAGACUGGGAUAACUCCGGGAAACCGGGGCUAAUACCGGAUAACAUUUUGAACCGCAUGGUUCGAAAUUGAAAGGCGGCUUCGGCUGUCACUUAUGGAUGGACCCGCGUCGCAUUAGCUAGUUGGUGAGGUAACGGCUCACCAAGGCAACGAUACGUAGCCGACCUGAGAGGGUGAUCGGCCACACUGGGCCUGGAACACGGACCAGACUCCUCCGGGAGGCAGCAGUAGGUAAUCUUCCGCAAUGGACGAAAGUCUGACGGAGCAACGCCGCGUGAGUGAUGAAGGCUUUCGGGUCGUAAAACUCUGUUGUUAGGGAAGAACAAGUGCUAGUUGAAUAAGCUGGCACCUUGACGGUACCUAACCAGAAAGCCACGGCUAACUACGUGCCAGCAGCCGCCGUAA